UUUUAAACUUCAAGCGUGGAGUGAUGCUCAGUUGAAUUGGUCUUGGUGCAGCCUUACUUGAAGACCAUCCCCAGGAGCUCUCAUUGCCAUAGCACGAUAGAUAUCCUUCUGUCUUACUGAAGCUGGGAUCCUUGUACCACCACACUUCUGUCAUCUUUUCCAUUCUGGCUUGAGACGUGGUGAGCUGAUUCCUGUUGCAUCUGGCAUUUCUGAACUUCCCAGGUUUCUUUUCAAAGGCUGGAUACUGUAAUAGAACACUUUAAUUUUGGUGUAACCUGCCAGAGUAUUUCUGAACCUCUCCCCUGAGGAAGGAAGCGUGUGAAUAACUGAAGUCACCUUUACUGGAAAUCAGUUUGCUGAAACUAUUGAAAGAGCCAUUCUUGAAGUUGAAGAAAAGGAGGUUCUGCACCUUCACCGGAGGAGUGUGGCCCUUCCUUCAAAACGCUCUCUGGACGCACCCUCCUAGCAUCCCCGAGGGAA